rnacentral:lncRNA from 1 species
CUUAUAAAAUUUUUAUGGGAUUGGAUGGAUGUCCGCCUCAUUCCUUCUUUUAUUUUUAAAGAAUGUCUUUUUGUCACUUCCAGCUGGAUCUACCAUGAAAGACAUCAGAGUUCAGGAGGAGACUGGGCAUCAUGUUACUCAGGUCUUCCUUUCGUACACACUGGCGUCUCCAAGACCAUCUGCUUAGUCAUGUCUGCCUCUGAAGAUGCAACUCCUGUUUUGCCGUGGACAUUUUCACCUCAGUUCCUGCCUCACGAUGGCCUCUUCGGGCUCUUCUCCUGCCUCUUAAUGGACACUCAAGUCUCAUCUCCUCUCAUGGUGGCUUUUUCUGCAGUGCACGUGCGUUAUAAUGGCCUCUUGUCGAUCCAGCUCUAUAUGUCUUUGAUUUUCAACUGCAUCUAG